rnacentral:rRNA from 1 species
GACGAACGCUGGCGGCGUGCCUAAUACAUGCAAGUAGAACGCUGAAGAGAGGAGCUUGCUCUUCUUGGAUGAGUUGCGAACGGGUGAGUAACGCGUAGGUAACCUGCCUGGUAGCGGGGGAUAACUAUUGGAAACGAUAGCUAAUACCGCAUAAAAUGGAUUAUCGCAUGAUAAUCCAUUGAAAGGUGCAAAUGCAUCACUACCAGAUGGACCUGCGUUGUAUUAGCUAGUUGGUGGGGUAACGGCUCACCAAGGCGACGAUACAUAGCCGACCUGAGAGGGUGAUCGGCCACACUGGGACUGAGACACGGCCCAGACUCCUACGGGAGGCAGCAGUAGGAAAUCUUCGGCAAUGGACGGAAGUCUGACCGAGCAACGCCGCGUGAGUGAAGAAGGUUUUCGGAUCGUAAAGCUCUGUUGUAAGAGAAGAACGAGUGUGAGAGUGGAAAGUUCACACUGUGACGGUAUCUUACCAGAAAGGGACGGCUAACUACGUG